AGAAUUCCGUUCAAUCCGGUGCAUAUGCUUGUCUUAAACUUGCAGUGAUGGGAUAUGUAUGUGUUUUGUUCCGUCUUUAAGAAUUACGACAAAAGCGGUGCUCCUUUGCUAUUGUGUGAUUUUUACUGUGCUUUAAUGGUCUUAUAUAUGUCAUAGAUAGAUACCAAAUAUCAUUUUUGUCUAUUUAGCCAUGUGCUUUUUUGUAUUUACGUGUUCUUGUUUAUACAAAUUUGUCACUUGAAGCGAGAGGAUAAGAGCAUGUAAACUACAGAAUAUCUGUCAGUAAACAAUGAAAUAACAGCAUGUACACAAACAUCAGCAUAUAUACAAACAAUGGACUGCCAGGUUGUAUGCAAUGGACUAUCACAAUGUGGACAUUGACACAUCAACGUGCAAACAAAUAUCAGUAUGUAAACAAUGAAAUCUCGAAUAUAUAGAUAUUGAAAUGUAAAUGGAAUAUCAGCAUUGAAAACAAUGGAGACAAUAGAAUAUCAGCGUGUUUACAAUGGAGCAUCAUGUAAACAAUGGAAUAUCAGUAUGUAGGCAAUGGAACAUCCGCAUGUAAAGAUUGGAAUAUUAGAAUGUAGACAUUGGAACAUCCGCAUGUAAAGAUUGGAAUAUCAGAAUGUAGACAUUGGAACAUCUGCAUGUAACCAAUGGAAUAUCAGCAUUUUAACUAAGCAAUUUAAUAUCAGUACUAGUAAAUAGAC
rnacentral:lncRNA from 1 species